GACCGCAAUGAUAACCCGCCAGUGCUGGGCAACUUUGAGAUUCUUUUCAACAACUAUGUCACCAACCGCUCGAGCAGCUUCCCUGGGGGUGCUAUAGGCCGCGUGCCUGCCCAUGACCCCGAUAUCUCAGACAGCCUGACGUACAGCUUUGAGCGAGGAAAUGAACUCAGCCUGGUCCUACUCAAUGCCUCCACCGGUGAGCUGAGACUGAGCCGGGCACUGGACAACAACCGGCCCCUGGAAGCCAUCAUGAGUGUGCUGGUGUCAGAUGGUGUCCACAGUGUGACAGCCCAGUGCUCACUCCGUGUCACCAUCAUCACAGACGAGAUGCUCACACACAGCAUCACGCUGCGCUUGGAAGACAUGUCUCCAGAACGCUUUCUGUCCCCACUGCUGGGACUCUUCAUUCAGGCUGUGGCAGCCACAUUGGCCACACCCCCAGAUCACGUGGUGGUCUUCAAUGUGCAGAGGGAUACUGAUGCCCCAGGCGGCCAUAUCCUCAACGUGAGCCUGUCAGUGGGCCAGCCCCCAGGACCCGGGGGUGGGCCACCCUUUCUACCUUCAGAGGAUCUGCAGGAGCGCCUGUACCUCAACCGCAGCCUGCUCACCGCCAUCUCAGCUCAGCGCGUGCUCCCCUUCGAC
rnacentral:lncRNA from 1 species